AGUGAACGCUGGCGGUAGGCCUAACACAUGCAAGUCGAACGGCAGCACAGUAAGAGCUUGCUCUUACGGGUGGCGAGUGGCGGACGGGUGAGGAAUACAUCGGAAUCUACUUUUUCGUGGGGAUAAAGGAGGGGAACUUACGCUAAUACCGGAUACGAACUUCGGGUGAAAGCAGGGGAUCCUUGGACCUUGGGCGAUUGGAUGAGCCGAUGUCGGAUUAGCUAGUUGGCGGGGUAAAGGCCCACCAAGGCGACGAUCCGUAGCUGGUCUGAGAGGAUGAUCAGCCACACUGGAACUGAGACACGGUCCAGACUCCUACGGGAGGCAGCAGUGGGGAAUAUUGGACAAUGGGCGCAAGCCUGAUCCAGCCAUACCGCGUGGGUGAAGAAGGCCUUCGGGUUGUAAAGCCCUUUUGUUGGGAAAGAAAAGCAGCAGGUUAAUACCCCGCUGUUCUGACGGUACCCAAAGAAUAAGCACCGGCUAACUUCGUG
rnacentral:rRNA from 1 species